CCUACGGGUGGCAGCAGUGAGGAAUAUUGGUCAAUGGGCGCGAGACUGAACCAGCCAAGUCGCGUGAAGGAUGACUGCCCUACGGGUUGUAAACUUCUUUUAUCAAGGAAUAAAGUGAGGCACGUGUGCCUUUUUGUAUGUACUUUAUGAAUAAGCAUCGGCUAACUCCGUGCCAGCAGCCGCGGUAAUACGGAGGAUCCGAGCGUUAUCCGGAUUUAUUGGGUUUAAAGGGAGCGUAGAUGGGUUGUUAAGUCAGUUGUGAAAGUUUGAGGCUCAACCGUAAAAUUGCAAUUGAUACUGGCAGUCUUGAGUACAGGUGAGGUAGGCGGAAUGCGUGGUGUAGCGGUGAAAUGCUUAGAUAUCACGAAGAACUCCGAUUGCGAAGGCAGCCUACCAAAUCGACACUGACACUGAUGCUCGAAAGUGUGGGUAUCAAACAGGAUUAGAUACCCGAGUAGUC
rnacentral:rRNA from 1 species